UCUUUUCUCUUUCUCUUUCCUUGUUCUUUCUUCUUCUUCUCUGUUCUUAAUCUUCUCUUCUCUGUUUAAUCCGACCUCAGAGAUUUGAGUGUUUAUUUGUACGAGAAUUCUUGUAGAUUUUUUAUCCUUAUCGGUUGAAGAUGAAGGUGAUGGUGCUGAGGUUGUUUAGUCACAGGAAGAAGCAGAAAAACGGAAAUUAAGAUCAGGGUUCCCGAGUUUUAAUUAUUGAUGAAGAAGGUGGGUUUAACAGUGAUGAAUCGAAGAAGAACUGAUGUUGUUUCAAGCUUGUGUUUGUGAUUGAAAUUGGGUUUUGAUUCAGGGCUUUGUAAAGAAGAAAUAAGAAUUUAGGGAUUUGAAGAGGAUCUAAGAUUGGGGGUUUUCCCUGAUUCGGAAUCUACUAUGAAUUGGGUUGACAUAGGAGAAGAUUCAGUGAAGAAUUGGUGUUGUUGGAAUUGUAGUUAUCAUGGUUUGGUCUUUAGUGAUAGGAUUGUUAGUGUUAAAUAGUGGAUGUUACAGGUUAUUGGUUGGUAUCGGGAGGAAGAUUGAAUCGGUGUAUUUGAACGAUUAUGUAUGUGUGUUAGUUUGGAGAUACUAUGGCUUAGUAAUGGAGCUAAUUAUGAACUUCCUAAGUUGGUAAUGAUGUUGCUGAUGAAGCUCAAGUGACAGGUGAAGUUGAGUUAGUGGAUUUGAUUUAUGAGAUUGCUGACUUCAGGAGUUUGGUAAUGAAACUGAGACUUAGGUGGUAGUGAUAUUGAAUUAGUAUGUGUUGGGAUGGUGCAAGUAUAAUCUGGAGAUGAAGUCAGUUAAUGAAGAUAAAGAUGAUGUUGAAGAUACUUUGAGGAUGUGUUUGUUCAGUUGAGCCUAACUGAGAUGUUGACGGUUGGUACCUGUAGUUGUGAAUUGAUUUAUAGGGCAUGAACAUGAAUUAGAUACUAGAGUUGUAAAUGGUGCUUUGUAGCGGCAAUAGAGGUGGAGAUGAGUUUGGAACUAGAGUUGUUGAAGUUGCAAGAAAGGUAUUGAUGACGCUGUUAUGAAGAUAAGAGGUAUGGAUUGAUAUUGAGUUGGUAACACAAGUGAAGUUGUUGAUGAUGAACUGGUGAGAGCAAUGGGGAGCCGAUAGUGAGGUGUUGUGAACUGAGUUAAUGAUGGACUGUGGUAGCUGCAAAUGAAGUUAUAAGUUAUAAUGAAGGUGUUGGCUUGGGUAGCUAGUUUGGUUGGUUCUAAAAGAGAUACAUAAAUAUCAGUUUAGGAAGUGGAUUGUGUAUAUGAUUGUGUUGUUUGGAAUGAAACUUAUGAAGAGGCCUGAAGAGUAUGUGGAUGAGCUUUAGAUGAUGGGAUUGAUGAUAUAAAGAUUGUUUGGUGUUAGAAUUACAGUUAGAACAAAUUGUAUGAUUGAAAAUAUAUUAGAUUUCUGUUGUAUUUAAAUUAUAAAGUUUUGUUGGAAUGAAUAGAUUGUAUUUAAGCUAGGAUUAGAGUCUCAGCUGUAUGUGAACCUUAAGCAUGUAUGACUGGACUUAUUCAGUCUGUUUUAGUUUUGUA